AAAGCUCGUAGUUGAAUUUCUGGUNUUGGACGGCGGUNUACCACNAUUGUGGUACGUACCAACUGUNCGAGUCCAUCCUCGGGGAAAACANGCCUGUGAUUCAGUUCAUGGGUAUGGGAUCCUCGUCAUUUACUGUGAGCAAAAUAGAGUGUUCAAAGCAGGCUUANGCCGUUGAUACAUUAGCAUGGA
rnacentral:rRNA from 1 species